AUCUAUGGCCGAGUGGACGAUGGCUCGUGACUCAUAAUCUCGCUUCGAAAGAACAGCGCUGGUUCGAAUCCAGCUGGAUG
rnacentral:tRNA from 13 species